GAAUACAGAGCGGGUGCUUAGGGGAGAAUACCCACUGGCCUGGCCUCGGUAGUGAGGAAAAGCCUGUGGAUAUUCUGAACCUGACACACGACGGGAACCCCGCCGACAGGCCUCCCAUCCUCACUCCACGGCCUGCGUGGCCCUGUUUUCUCCUCCUGGAAGACGAGGAGCAUCUACUGACACCGGAGGCUCGCUGAGUCCUGGGCUCGGGGCGAGGGGAGCGGGAGUCACGAGGCCCUCCUCGGGAACGAGCCCACCGUGCGCAGCCACUGCUCCACGCGGCAUGACUGCAUUUCAGAAGUUUCAGCAAGUGACUGAACUGUGCAAAGCAUGAAACAAGACACUGCAUUUCAACCCCAUCUGAGUAAAUCACCCAUGGGUUAUUUGGAAUUCUAAGGAACAGGCACCUCAAAAGACAUAACCCUCCUUAGCCAGGCCUAGAUCUCCUUAUGACUGCCUUCUGCCUUAUAAAUACCUGUGAGUAGAUCAAGAAUGUAAAUGAGGACUUCCCUGGUGGCACAGUGGUUAAGAAUCUGCCUGCCAAUGCAGGGGACACGGGUUCGAUCCCUGGUCCAGGAGGAUCCCACAUGCCACGGAGCAACUAAGCCCGUGCGCCACAACUACUGAGCUUGCGAGCCACAACUACUGAACCCGCGUGCCUGGAGCCCGUGCUCUGCAACAAGAGAAGCCACUGCAAUGAGAAGCUGGCGUGCAGCAAUGAAGCCCCAGUGCAGCCAAAAAUAAAUUUUAAAAAAAAAAAAAGAAUGUA